rnacentral:lncRNA from 1 species
CCUUUCACCCCGGCAUCAGUUUUCAGGUUCCAAAGACCUCAGAGAUGCCUGGUUGAGGGCAGCUGGCGGACAAGUGAUCACACCACCCACCCUUGUCUGAUGCCACGCACGCUGAGCGCUGAGCGAGCUGAGGUGGAAGGCGGGGCAGAAGAACGGGUGGCUCUUGUGUCCUCCCAUUCCCCUCCCACCCAGGGCAUGGGCGGCAUCGGCGAAGCCAGCGAGACGCUUGUCCUACAGCGCCUCCUCCUGGACAAAGCUCCAGACAACCGAAAAGGGACACCACCAGCCCUAGAAAACCUAGACUAGGCACUUCCUUCCUGGGACAUCAGAAGUUGAUUCUGCCACGUCCACUGGAGAGGCAAAAAGGAGUCCAAAAGUCCUUGAGGCUACCUCUUACCGCCCCACCCCCAGCUCAGACAACAAGCCUGUGACCCAGAAGCGAGCAUCUCAUCUCUCCUUGAUUAGACUUUCCAGAGACUGCACUCCCAGCUCUUGUGUCCACCCAAGAAGAAACCAAGGCCAGGACAUUGGCUCCCCAGUCUAUAAAUAGAAGUUUGGACCCAGGACGCUGGGAGUUUUGCCCAGAAACCUCUAAGGUCUUAGGCUCCGAAUAAUCUUUAAAUUUCGUUUCUUUUUCUCUCCGGUUUUCUUUCCUUUUUUGUUUAUUUUUUGUUGUUAGGUUCACAGAGACAAUGAAGGCAGUUAUGGCGGUGUCAGCCUCUUAGCCUUUCCUUGUAGAGAAAAUGUGCGACUUCCCAAACGUUUAUUUCUCAAGUGGCAACCAACCGUUUCUUUCCAAUAAGCUUUGAAUAUCACCACGAGGCUCACAAUGAUACCCUACAUCCUCCAUGUUUGCACCUGGCACCACCUUCCUCUGUGUAAUCAGAACCACGUUCUUCACCGAAACACGCUGGGCCACCAAACCCAGGAAAAAGCAGCUGAAACCCCAAACCUACAACUUGGCCAGCCGAGCAUCCAGCCCACCCCAGCCCCACCCAGCCUCAGAACUCCAAGUCCACCCCCAGCCCCACCCAGACUCAGGCCAUCAAGUCUUUGAGCCCCACCCAACUUCAAUGAACCUAGCUAGCUGCAGGGCCUAUGGACGCAGUCAAGGAGCUUGUUUUUCCAAAGGGAAUGUUUCCUCUUACUCUCAGCGUCAUCAAUGUGUAAUAGGGAACUGCUUACAAGAUACAGACGCUCCGAAUAAAAAUAAAAUAAGAAACAAAAACCCACUCCAGAGACAGUGAGCCCUCUGAGUUACCGACCCAGAACAAUUCUGCAGACAUCAACUGGUCCUCCAUUUUGAAAUGAGAGUGAUUCCAUCCUUAAUUACUAAAAACACCUUUCUACAAACAUAUCACCUAUUGUUCACAAGUAUUUGUACAGCCAACACUGUUAUACUGGAAUAUCUGGGCAAACAAUAAGGAUUUGUCGAUAAGCACGUUGGGGACUAUGGCCCACCGCCAUGUGCAGUCUUAUGCGCAAUGCGGCAGAUUGUCUAAGGUUUCAAUGUUUCCCUAUGUGUUCCUGAAGGAACAGGAAAUAGGGGUUUCAAAGUGCAUCGUCAAAUGCCAUCCAAAAUUUUGGGGAGUGAAACAACAUUAUGUUCUGCAAAGAUUUUCUUUUUCUUUCUUUCUUUUUUUUUCCUGUGUGUUUGGUUCAGUAGUUUCGAAAUAAGGGAAAUAUUGCAGUAUGGUGUUUAUUGGAAAAUGGAAAAAAAAACACAACGCAUUUGGAAAGCAAAAAGAUCUAC